rnacentral:rRNA from 1 species
CCUACGGGUGGCAGCAGUAGGGAAUCUUCCACAAUGGGCGAAAGCCUGAUGGAGCAACGCCGCGUGGGUGAAGAAGGUCUUCGGAUCGUAAAACUCUGUUGUUAGAGAAGAAAGUGCGUGAGAGUAACUGUUCACGUUUCGACGGUAUCUAAUCAGAAAGCCACGGCUAACUACGUGCCAGCAGCCGCGGUAAUACGUAGGUGGCAAGCGUUAUCCGGAUUUAUUGGGCGUAAAGGGAACGCAGGCGGUCUUUUAAGUCUGAUGUGAAAGCCUUCGGCUUAACCGGAGAAUUGCAUUGGAAACUGGGAGACUUGAGUGCAGAAGAGGAGAGUGGAACUCCAUGUGUAGCGGUGAAAUGCGUAGAUAUAUGGAAGAACACCAGUGGCGAAGGCGGCUCUCUGGUCUGUAACUGACGCUGAGGUUCGAAAGCGUGGGUAGCAAACAGGAUUAGAUACCCGAGUAGUC